CCUACGGGUGGCUGCAGUGGGGAAUAUUGGACAAUGGGCGAAAGCCUGAUCCAGCCAUGCCGCGUGUGUGAAGAAGGCCUUCGGGUUGUAAAGCACUUUCAGUGGGGAAGAAAGCCUUGGGGCUAAUACCCUCGAGGAAGGACAUCACCCACAGAAGAAGCACCGGCUAACUCCGUGCCAGCAGCCGCGGUAAUACGGAGGGUGCGAGCGUUAAUCGGAAUUACUGGGCGUAAAGCGCGCGUAGGCGGUCUGAUAAGCCGGUUGUGAAAGCCCCGGGCUCAACCUGGGAACGGCAUCCGGAACUGUCAGGCUAGAGUGCAGGAGAGGAAGGUAGAAUUCCCGGUGUAGCGGUGAAAUGCGUAGAGAUCGGGAGGAAUACCAGUGGCGAAGGCGGCCUUCUGGACUGACACUGACGCUGAGGUGAGAAAGCGUGGGUAGCAAACAGGAUUAGAUACCCCAGUAC
rnacentral:rRNA from 1 species